UACCGGCACCCCGAGUGGUCGGGACGUUUAUUGGGCCUAAAGCGUCCGUAGCCGGUUCUACAAGUCUUCCGUUAAAUCCACCUGCUUAACAGAUGGGCUGCGGAAGAUACUAUAGAGCUAGGAGGCGGGAGAGGCAAGCGGUACUCGAUGGGUAGGGGUAAAAUCCGUUGAUCCAUUGAAGACCACCAGUGGCGAAGGCGGCUUGCCAGAACGCGCUCGACGGUGAGGGAUGAAAGCUGGGGGAGCAAACCGG
rnacentral:rRNA from 1 species